GCACGACUCCCCCGGGGCAGCCCACUCCCCGCAGCAGAGCCGGCCGGCGGGUCUCGCUUCCACGUUAGCCAACGGCCCGAGUCAGCAGUUCUUGAAGGCUUCUAACCUCAUCUUCCUUUCUGACUUCCUCAAGACCUGGCCAGAUCAGCAGUGAUUGAUGACUGACCAACUAUAUGAUUCCCAGUGUCUGGAAAGAAAAAGUGGGUAGUGCCUGACUGCACUGACCACCUGUAACAGGAGGUGAUAUAUAAGUUUUCUCCCUGUCUUGGAGUUUUGGCUGAGAUUCCAGGGCUGAGAACAAUGGGAAUGAAGAGUCCAGAGGAUCUCAAGAAAGAUGCCAGUCAGAGCAUCCACCCAGACCUUCUGUCCGGGUCCCUAGGGGAUCAGACUGAGCCACCCUUUCACCUGGACCAGGAACUUGAUCAGAGGGGAAGAUGGUGAGGAUUCCUUUACAGCUUCCUGCUGGACACUGUCUUUACCACCACCUUCUCUGCCUCAGAUGGAAUGAUAAGGGUUUGGAUGGAACUGUUUGGAGAAAAAGGCCUUUGAGCCCUGGGGUGCAGAUCCCAAGGAGGAGAAAAGUCUAAAGAUGAGAGAAGGAUUCUGCCAGUGCUCUGCCUUGAAAGUAUGAAAGUUGAAGCUGUUACCAUGAGACAAAGGACACAACAGAUGAUAUGAACUAUGAGGUGUCACGGAUUUCCCUUUGUUUGACAGAGACCAAUAGAAACUCUA